rnacentral:rRNA from 1 species
CCUACGGGUGGCAGCAGUGGGGAAUAUUGCACAAUGGGGGAAACCCUGAUGCAGCGACGCCGCGUGAGUGAAGAAGUACUUCGUUAUGUAAAGCUCUAUUAGCAGGGAAGAAAAUGACGGUACCUGAGUAAGAAGCCCCGGCUAACUACGUGCCAGCAGCCGCGGUCAUACGGAGGGGGCAAGCGUUAUCCGGAUUUACUGGGUGGAAAGGGAGCGUAGACGGCUGUGCAAGGCUGGAGUGAAAGGCGGGGGCUCAACCCCCGGACUGCUCUGGAAACUGGGCGGCUGGAGUGCGGGAGAGGUAAGUGGAAUUCCUGGUGUAGCGGUGAAAUGCGUAGAUAUUAGGAGGAACACCAGUGGCGAAGGCGGCUUACUGGAGUGUAACUGACGUUGAGGCUCGAAAGCGUGGGGAGCAAACAGGAUUAGAUACCCCAGUAGUC